GAUGAACGCUGGCGGCGUGCCUAAUACAUGCAAGUCGAGCGAACAGACGAGGAGCUUGCUCCUUUGACGUUAGCGGCGGACGGGUGAGUAACACGUAGGUAACCUACCUAUAAGACUGGGAUAACUUCGGGAAACCGGAGCUAAUACCGGAUAAUAUUUCGAACCGCAUGGUUCGAUAGUGAAAGAUGGCUUUGCUAUCACUUAUAGAUGGACCUGCGCCGUAUUAGCUAGUUGGUAAGGUAACGGCUUACCAAGGCAACGAUACGUAGCCGACCUGAGAGGGUGAUCGGCCACACUGGAACUGAGACACGGUCCAGACUCCUACGGGAGGCAGCAGUAGGGAAUCUUCCGCAAUGGGCGAAAGCCUGACGGAGCAACGCCGCGUGAGUGAUGAAGGUCUUCGGAUCGUAAAACUCUGUUAUUAGGGAAGAACAAACGUAUAAGUAACUGUGCACGUCUUGACGGUACCUAAUCAGAAAGCCACGGCUAACUACGUG
rnacentral:rRNA from 1 species